AUUGAACGCUGGCGGCAUGCCUUACACAUGCAAGUCGAACGGCAGCACGGGGCAACCUGGUGGCGAGUGGCGAACGGGUGAGUAAUGCAUCGGAACGUGCCAUUGAGUGGGGGAUAACGUAGCGAAAGUUGCGCUAAUACCGCAUAUUCUGUGAGCAGGAAAGCAGGGGACCGCAAGGCCUUGCGCUCUUUGAGCGGCCGAUGUCAGAUUAGCUAGUUGGUAAGGUAACGGCUUACCAAGGCGACGAUCUGUAGCGGGUCUGAGAGGAUGAUCCGCCACACUGGAACUGAGACACUGUCCAGACUCCUACGGGAGGCAGCAGUGGGGAAUUUUGGACAAUGGGCGCAAGCCUGAUCCAGCCAUGCCGCGUGAGUGAAGAAGGCCUUCGGGUUGU
rnacentral:rRNA from 1 species